rnacentral:rRNA from 1 species
UACGUAGGGACCGAGCGUUGUCCGGAAUCACUGGGCGUAAAGAGCGCGUAGGCGGCCACUUAAGUCCUGCGUGAAAUCUUGCGGCUCAACCGCAAGCGGUCGUGGGAAACUGGGUGGCUAGAGUGCGGGAGAGGGUAGUGGAAUUCCCGGUGUAGUGGUGAAAUGCGUAGAUAUCGGGAGGAACACCAGUGGCGAAGGCGACUACCUGGCCUGUUCUUGACGCUGAGGCGCGAAAGCUAGGGGAGCAAACGGG